GUAGCUCAGUUGGCUAGAGCAUCAGCCUUCCAAGCUGAGGGUCGCGGGUUCGAGUCCCGUUUCCCGCUCCA
rnacentral:tRNA from 1 species